GAUGAAGAACGCAGCGAAAUGCGAUAAGUAAUGUGAAUUGCAGAAUUCAGUGAAUCAUCGAAUCUUUGAACGCACAUUGCGCCCGCCAGUAUUCUGGCGGGCCUGCCUGUCUGAGCGUCAUUUCAACCCUCAUGCCCCUAGGGCGUGGUGUUGGGGAUCGGCCAAAGCCCGCGAGGGACGGCCGGCCCCUAAAUCUAGUGGCGGACCCGUCGUGGCCUCCUCUGCGAAGUAGUGAUAUUCCGCAUCGGAGAGCGAUGAGCCCCUGCCGUUAAACCCCCAACUUUCCAAGGUUGACCUCAGAUCAGGUAGGAAUACCCGCUGAACUUAAGCAUAUCAAUAAGCGGAGGA
rnacentral:misc_RNA from 1 species